AGCUGCUGCCCCCAUGUUCACAGGGUUCCUGGUGUUGCAUGCGGAGCCUGAACAAAGGACGCAGGUGGACCUGGAACAGCUCAUUGUAGGUGAGCACACCCCCUAAAUCCAGGACACCUGGCUCCCUACCUGAUCCCCACCUUCCCAUCUCUGCUGGGGCUCUGCUGACCCUGUAGGCACCCGCAGGGACUAAGUGAUUUUCCUGGAUUUCAGGAUUUUUUUUUUUCCCUGUCACUGGUGACCUCAUCGUCUCUAGUAAUUCACGGAAACUUCUUAACUGUUCCAAAAGAGCUUAAAAAACACUAAAAAAGGAAAAACUAUCUUUCCGUUGGCUCCCGAGCCCUCCCAGCAGAGGCCCGUCUGUUAGAAAGGCAGUGGGCCGCCCCACACACAGGCCCAGGCAUGUGCACAACUGGCCUGUUCCUCUGCCCACAGCCCUGCAGCUCCUCCUAAAGGACCCAGUGCCUGGGGUACGGGAGAAAGCUGCCGAGACACUGGGCCGCCUGGUGAAGUUUGCCUGAGGCUGACUGCACUCCUGCAAUACACACACAGCUCGUUCUGCCUAGAGGACUCUCUGCUGCCAGACAGGGCCAAGACUGCGGUGCCCCAAUUUAUUGCCCAAUAAAGCCAGUUACACCUCA
rnacentral:lncRNA from 1 species